CCUACGGGCGGCAGCAGUGGGGAAUAUUGCACAAUGGGGGAAACCCUGAUGCAGCGACGCCGCGUGAGUGAAGAAGUAUUUCGGUAUGUAAAGCUCUAUCAGCCGGGAAGAAAAUGACGGUACCUGAUUAAGAAGCCCCGGCUAACUACGUGCCAGCAGCCGCGGUAAUACGUAGGGGGCAAGCGUUAUCCGGAUUUACUGGGUGUAAAGGGGGCGUAGACGGCAGCACAAGUCUGGAGUGAAAUAGCGGGGCUUAACCCCUGAACUGCUUUGGAAACUGUGCAGCGAGAGUGCAGGAGAGGUAAGUGGAAUGCCUAGUGUAGCGGUGAAAUGCGUAGAUAUUAGGAGGAACACCAGUGGCGAAGGCGGCUUACUGGACUGUAACUGACGUUGAGGCUCGAAAGCGUGGGGAGCAAACAGGAUUAGAUACCCGAGUAGUC
rnacentral:rRNA from 1 species